GUGUGUUCUGGUCGUGAUUUACACAGGAGCAAAAAUGGAUUCUUGAUCAAAACCCUAAAUCACAAGAAAUUCAGCCAAAUCAAGGGAAAUUAAGCUAGGAAAUUGGGGCUUUAACUAAAAUCAUGAUCACCUAGCUUAGGGGAUCACAAGUUUGACUCUGACAAGCUAGGUGGGAGCUUGGAAAUGAACGGGUCAAGUGGAUACAAGUUCUAGUAUGAAGCUCGCAAGGAUGCAAGGUGGAUAUCAAGAGUACCCGGAUGAAGAUCAAGCGAAGAGAAAGAACCGAACACAUGAAAAAGAAGCUUCCGCACGGUGUGUCGUCGUAACUUUCAAACGACGACUAAAUUACAUUAUGUUGUAUUAUUUUUAAAUUGUAAAAGUUUUAAUUAAACUGAAAUUUUAAACGCAUUUGUAAUCAUAAUUACAAGUUUAUUUUCGUAAUC